rnacentral:rRNA from 1 species
GACGAACGCUGGCAGCGUGCUUAAUACAUGCAAGUCAACUGAAGCAGUGGUCGCAAUCUCGCUGUGGAGGUGGCGCGCGGGUGUGUAACGCGUAGGUCUUCUGCCUUCAGGUCUGGCAUCACUCCGGGAAACCGGGUCUCAUAGCAGAUGAUGCAGCGGCCCGACAUCGACACAGUUGUUAAAGCUAUGGCGGCUGAAGAUGAGGCUGCGUCUGCUUAGCUAGGUGGCGGGGUAACGGCACACCAAGGCAACGAACACUAGCUGGUCUGAGAGGGUGAGCAGGCACGCGGGAACUGAGACACGGGCCAGGCGACACCGGGAGGAAGCAGUAAGGAAGAAGGCGCGAUGGAAGAAAUACUGAGGCAGCAACGCCGCGUGAGGGAUGAAGUGCGUUUGAAUGUAGACCUCUGUAGGGAGAGAGAAAAAUCCCAAGCAGUAGAACAUGACGGUAUCUCAAGAGUAAGCCCCGGCUAACUACGUG